rnacentral:rRNA from 1 species
CCUACGGGAGGCAGCAGUAGGGAAUGUUGCGCAAUGGGCGAAAGCCUGACGCAGCAACGCCGCGUGAUAGAGACGCCCUUCGGGGUGUAAAGAUCUGUCAGUGGGGACGAAACUUGACGGUACCCACAGAGGAAGCACCGGCUAACUCCGUGCCAGCAGCCGCGGUAAUACGGGGGGUGCAAGCGUUGUCCGGAAUCAUUGGGCGUAAAGAGUUCGUAGGCGGCACGUAAAGUCUGGUGUUAAAGGCAGAGGCUCAAAUUCUGGACGGCACUUGAGACUUGCGAGCUAGGAUGCGGUAGAGGGUAAGGGAAUUCCUGGGUUAGCGGUUAAAUGCUUAGAUAUCAGGAGGAACAUCGGUGGCGUACGCGCUUUACUGGGCCGUAAUUGACGCUGAGGAACGAAAGCCAGGGUAGCAAAUGGGAUUAGAUACCCUAGUAGUC